AUGAGAAAUGUACUGGAAAAAAAUGUAAUGCACUUAUGCGUGAGUGACACCAGUAAGGCCUUGGUUCCUAGGAGAUAUCCCUUCUUUAAUCCAAGUUUGAAUAAUAAGAUCAACUCCUUUAUUUCCAUCACAUUCCAUAUUCUUUGGGAACGGAAGAGCACACGUGAGGCCGUAGGUUGGAGUCUUUUCCACGAGGUGGCAAGGGAGCUAGGGGCAGUGUUACCUGUGAGGGCUGUGGCGGAAAGACAGCGGAUCAGACAGACACACCUGAGCAGAGUCCACAGCGGAAAGAAGCCCUCCGCUUCCCGUCCUUUUAUAUGGAACUGGGUGGUACACCAAUUGGGUACGCGAAUAGGGCGGGUCUUAGCAUGAGCCCUGGCCUCAGAUGGUGUAGGUGCAUCCUGGGAAGGCAGAUGUAGCAAUUCAACAGUUAGAGAUAGCUUUACAUUGCAAGGGCCCAAGAAUUCCAGCUUGCCUAAACUUUAACUUUCUACUUAUUUAUCCCCCAGUAACACAUAUGGUAAUGUCAGAAAAUUUUGUGUCUCUGGUCACAGAAGGAUGCACUAGAUAAUCUCUAAGUUUCCUCAAGAUUUAUAGAAUUUGACGUUCUGUGAUUUGCCCCACUAACAGCAAGCGCAUGAAGUACUGAUUACUUCUUUUUCUUUUUUUUUUUUAAGAUUAUUUAUUUAUUUAUUUGAGAGGUAGAGUUACAGACAGUGAGAAGUAGAGACAGAGAGGUCUUCCAUCUUCUGGUUCACUCCCCAGAUGGCCUCAAUGGCCGGCCGGAACCAGGAGUUUCUUCCUGGUCUCCCACAUGGCAGCAGGGGCCCAAGCACUUGGGCCAUCUUCCACUGCUUUCCCAGGCGACAGCAGAGAGCUGGAUUGGAAGAGGAGCAGCUGGAACUAGAACUGGCGCCCAUGUGGGAUGCCGGCACCACAGGCAGAGGAUUAACCUAUUGUGCCAUGGCGCGGCCCAGAAGUACUGAUUACUUCUAUGCUGAACCCCUAAUCCAGGCAGAGAAAUUCUGUUGCAGAUAAAAGACCCAGGAAGCCUCACCAGGUUUGGUCAACUAGUGGAUGGGCACGGUAGCGUCUCCCAUUCCUGGCACCCCAGGAGACCACACAAAACCAGUUGGAAUUUCACAUAGACUUAGAAUCAAAGCUUCAUUUCACUGAGGUCUGGCAAGGUAAAAUAUUUCCUCCCAUCAAAUUAACAGUUACUAGUAGACUCUGGCUCUAACCAGGGUUUUCAUCUCCUAGAAAGAGCUUGCUGCAACAGAAUUAAGGAUUCAAAUAUUUAACAGUUAAAAGGCUGAGAUGCAGGUAAUGAAGAAGAAAUCUAAAGGAAAUAAGGAUGCGUUUAGAGCUUCAUCUUUCUGGUUUGAAUGUGGUAGAAGUUAUCACCAAGUUUUUGAGUGCCACUAUAGUUGUAGUAUUUAGGAAGGCUAGUUGGAAAAUAAGUGGGGUUAAGCUGCCGCUUGCAGUGCUGGCAUCCCAUAUGGGUACCAGUUCGAGACCUGGCUGCUCCAUUUCCAAUCCAGCUCUCUGCUAUGGCCUGGGAAAGCAGUAGAAGAUGGCCCAAGUCCUUGGGCCCCUGCACCCACGUGGGAGACCUGGAGGAAGCUCCUGGCUCCUGGCUUCAGAUUGGCGCAGCUCCGGCUAUUGCAGCCAUCUGGGGAGUAAAUCAGCAGAUGGAAGACCUCUCUCUUUCUCUUUUUCUCUCUCUCCUCCUCUCUCUCUCUUUCUCUCUCUCUCUCUCUCUGCCUCUCCUUCUCUCUCUGUGUAACUGACUUUCAAAUAAAUAAAUAAAUCUUUUAAAAAAAGAAAGAAAA
ensembl:lncRNA